rnacentral:rRNA from 1 species
UACGUAGGUGGCAAGCGUUGUCCGGAAUUAUUGGGCGUAAAGCGCGCGCAGGCGGUCCUUUAAGUCUGAUGUGAAAUCCCGUGGCUUAACCACGGGCGGUCAUUGGAAACUGGGGGACUUGAGUGCAGAAGAGAAGAGCGGAAUUCCACGUGUAGCGGUGAAAUGCGUAGAGAUGUGGAGGAACACCAGUGGCGAAGGCGGCUGUGGUGUCUGUAACUGACGCUGAGGCGCGAAAGCGUGGGGAGCGAACAGG